rnacentral:lncRNA from 1 species
AUCUUCACUAUACAACUGAAACUACAAGAGUUGGUGUAUAUUAUAUCAGCACCAUGAAGUGAAAGAACAAGAAAUGCAGAUGAGCAUAUGAGGAAGAUGAGGGCCAUAUACUACUAGUACUAGAUGAUAAUAACAGGAAAAUACCGAUAGAAGUGUUGUGGUCUUGGAGUCGGAGGCAUCUGGAGCACAAUGGACACUAUUUUUAUGCUUAGAUUGUGCAUUGCAUGCCAGGGAAGUGUACCUGGUAGACAAUGUCUAGAAUAUAGCCCAACCACACCUUGCAGCUACCGACACUCUUGUUAGACAAGGCGACCAACUAGGUGCACAACACAUCUGAUUCCUUUUGAUGAAUCUGAAGUCUUGAAAAUUUGGGUUACAAGC